rnacentral:rRNA from 1 species
CCUCAAAUCAGGUAGGACUACCCGCUGAACUUAAGCAUAUCAAUAAGCGGAGGAGAAGAAACUAACAAGGAUUCCCCUAGUAACUGGCGAGUGAAGAGGGAAGAGCUCAAAUUUAAAAUCUGUCAGUCUUUGGCUGGCCGAGUUGUAAAUUAGAGAAGUGCCUAUCUGCGCUGGCCUGUGCAAAAGUCUCUUGGAAAAGGGCAUCAUAGAGGGUGACAAUCCCGUCUUUGGUACAGAGCUCCAGGGCUUCAUGAUGCGCUCUCGAUGAGUCGAGUUGUUUGGGAAUGCAGCUCUAAAUGGGUGGUAAAUUCCAUCUAAAGCUAAAUAUUGGCGAGAAACCGAUAGCGCACAAGUACCGUGAGGGAAAGAUGAAAAGAACUUUGAAAGGAGAGUUAAACAGUACGUGAAAUUGUUGAAAGGGAAACGCUUGAAGUCAGUCGUGUCCUUCAGAAAUCAACCUGACCUUGGUCUGGCUUACUUUCUGGUGGAUGGGCCAGCAUCAAUUUUGAUCAUUGGAUAAAGGCUUUGGGAAAGUGACAUCUCCGGAUGUGUUAUAGCCCUUGGUUCAUAUACAGUGGUUGGGAUUGGGGAACUCAGUGUGAACUUGGGGCUUUGGCCUACAC